CGAUCAGGCCUCGUAAACCCCCUUUUUGUUCAUGUGUAUAUUCGCUUUCUCAAUUUUACCUAUGUGAUAUUUAUGCUGAAAUGCGAACGCAAACAGUAAAAAAUAUUAAUAACCGAACUCGUUUGCUAUAUUAGUUGGCGAUUACAUGUUAUGAAAUCGUUGAAACGCGUUGUAUUACUUCAAAAAGUCAUGGCAAUGGCUGCUUCAUUGUAAUUCUUGGCGAGCUUUGUUUGUUUUCUUGGUUGGGGUGAAUUAUUCACAAACGCUGUCAGCGGGUAACCACUGGCAGUAACUUAUACUAAUGGGAAAACUUGCGUUCGAUUGAUUCUGAACGUGGGCAAACUAAGAUCGUGAUGUUCUAAGAGCUUGAACAUUUUCCUCUUUUUAUAUCCCAUUUAGCAUGUACCAAUCUCUUUUGGCGGUGUCUUUGUUGUGAAAAUACCCGGACCGCGAAGACAACAAUUGGAGGGAGCAAACCAUCUGUAUUUGCCAAGACUGAGCAAAUUUAUCAAUUUUGGGAGGAAAAGAGAUCCAUAGAAACACCGAUUUUGUUUUACCCACGAAGGACUUUACCGCGUGUAAAAAAUAUCUUGGAAAGAAGGCCAAACGGAAUAUUUAAAGGUGAAGAAUUUUAUUGGUAAACAAGGAAACUGACUGCAGCUGAAACGAUUCGAGAAAGAAUCGCACAAGACAACGAACAUUUGAGGAUAUUCCGAAAG